GACGUAGGGCGCGAGCGUUGUCCGGAUUUAUUGGGCGUAAAGAGCUCGUAGGCGGCUUGUCGCGUCGUCCGUGAAAACUUGGGGCUCAACCCCAAGCUUGCGGUCGAUACGGGCAGGCUAGAGUUCGGUAGGGGAGACUGGAAUUCCUGGUGUAGCGGUGAAAUGCGCAGAUAUCAGGAGGAACACCAGCGGCGAAGGCGGCGCUCUGGGCCGGUACUGACACUGAGGAGCGAAAGCGUGGGUAGCAAACAGG
rnacentral:rRNA from 1 species